UGAGCAUCACACAGCGUCAACAUGAAGUUCGUCGUCGUUCUUUGCCUCUUCGCCCUGGCCUUCGCCACCUCUCAGGAGGACGCUCAGAUCCUCAUGGACAAAAGAGCCGAAGCCUCGACAGACGCCCCAGUAGAUGCCCGGAAGAUUCAUGACUCCCCUAAACUCAAGAGAAUGGCCGACGAGGCCAGCUUCCAGCCAAGAUGA